GGAAAGUUAGCUCAGAUGGUAGUAGCACUCGGCUCAUAACCGAUAGGUCAUAGGUUCGAUUCCUAUACUUUCCA
rnacentral:tRNA from 1 species